UCUCCCUCCUGCCUGGAGAGUGAAGUAGCAGCGACCUCAAUUAUCUGCCUGCGCAAGUCUUCCUUUUGGGUCUGCAAUUGACAACCCGUGGCAGGGCGUGAGCGCUCCCCCUGCUGGCCUCCUCACCCCGUGUUAAAUGAGGUUUCCUUCUACCAGUUUUCACAGCUGCAAGGGGGCACUUGAGCCAACGAGCAGGAAGGCCAAGUCACUGCAAACAGGGAAGUGUGGGAACUAGUGCUCUCUGGAGCCGAUCUGUCAGUGAUCACCAAGGCCAGGCUGUGGCUGUGGGAGCGGCCGCUGAACCGACCGGAAGAUGGUGGUUAAGGAAGAAAAUGCUUCCGUUUUCCACGUGGGAAACCUGCAGCUCAGACCUGCACUCCUGGCGCCCAGGACCAGUUAAAAGGAGAAGAAACCCGCAUGUGAUGGCUAAUUUCAUGUGUUGAUUUGACUGGGUUAGGGGAUGGCCAGAUAGCUACUUACACAUCAUUUCUGAGUGUGUCUGUGAGAAUAUUUCCCAAGAGAUUAACAUUUGAAUCACUAGACUGAGUAAAGAAGAUAUUCCUUGCCCAUGCAACUGGGCAUCACCCCAUCCAUUCAGGGUCUGAAAAGAACAAAAGAAGAGGAAGAGUGAAUUUUCUCUUUUGCUUGAUCUAGGACAUCCACCUUCUCCUGUCCUUGAACAUUGGUGCUCCUGUUUCUCAGGCCUUUGGACUCAGACCAGGACUUAAUACUGUCAGCGCCCUAAUCCUCAAGCUUUUGAACUCAGAUUGGGGCUAUCAGUUUCCAAGGACAAAGACCAAAAUCUAUAUUUCUUAUAAUACAUGAGCCCCUUCAGUGGCUAGAGCAAUGCUAUGGAAACUCUCACCUGCCAUCAGUCCCUCUUGGCCUCUGGAUCCUGAUGCAAAGGUUCUGCGUCAGUCCAGGUCCUCCAAGAAGCCAACCCUGAGAUAAAGGGGGGGGGAACUGGGAAAGUCUGGAAGCAACAUUAAUACCCAUGCAAAUUUGACCCUGAGUGAAGAAGACAGGGAAGAAAGACUGGCUGGAGGUAUCCUAGACCUCUGUGUGAUGUAAGGAAGGUUCUGCCAAAGGAGAGAGCCUUCCAACCAAAGUUGGCCAUCAGAAGAGAUCCAUGUCUUCCAAGAAUGUGGAUGCCUCCACCUCCCUGGCUGAAGCACCCAGUCACUGGCCGGGAGUAGGCCAGUAGCAGCGGUCAGUUACACCCCUGCCGUUUGAGGUCAAUGAGAUUCACUGUAGGGCCACAGCAGGUUCAUGGUCAUCUGUGCCUAUGAAAUUCUGAGAAUCUAGGUCUGUUGACUAUCUAGGUCUAAAUGAUUAUUCAUUUUGUCUUAUACCUUCCUCGUGAGGUUUCUGAUUUUUUUUUUAAGAAAAGCCCAUGUCCUUGGCUAAAAUAUUAGAUAUGCCUAAUUGAAGAGAG